rnacentral:rRNA from 1 species
UACGGAGGGUGCAAGCGUUAUCCGGAUUUACUGGGUUUAAAGGGUGCGUAGGUGGGCAGGUAAGUCAGUGGUGAAAUCUCCGGGCUUAACCCGGAAACUGCCAUUGAUACUAUCUGUCUUGAAUACCCUGGAGGUGAGCGGAAUAUGUCAUGUAGCGGUGAAAUGCUUAGAUAUGACAUAGAACACCCAUUGCGAAGGCAGCUCACUACGGGAAUAUUGACACUGAUGCACGAAAGCGUGGGGAUCAAACAGG